rnacentral:lncRNA from 1 species
GUUAUUGCUGAAGAUGCAAGCUCCAACUGUCUCAUCUGGGACCAACACUACAGCGACUUCAAACACAACCACCGUCACAAAGUCCAAAGAACAAAUACUCAUCCAGAGUUCUGGGGCAAUGAUUGCCAUCAUCGUCAUAGGGAUCAUAAUCAUUCUCGCCAUUCUACUGAUCAUUCUGAAGACAUACAACAGGCGGACACAUGUAUCCAGAGUCCUGGGAGUCAGCGGUGGCUCCAAACCUCUACCGAAGGUGACACAGUCCACGGUUCAGAGCAGCAUGCCACUGAGCCCCAUGGGAAUCGACUCUGUGUCGGGCGGGGUCGCCAAUUCAAACCCGGCCUUGGAAAACGGCUUCCGGCUGCCCCGGGCGGAGUUGAACAGCGUGGAGGGAAACCACAUAGAGCAGUUCAGCACCACCAGCGGCUCCACUGUGGUCACCAUACACGACACUCCAUCACUGGGAAACACAUAG